AAGGUACUCCCUCCGUUCCAAAUUACUCGUCGCAGAAAUGGAUGUAUCUAGAACUAAAAUACAUCUAGAUACAUCCAUAUCUGCGACAAGUAAUUCGGAACGGAGGGAGUAGUCA
rnacentral:pre_miRNA from 1 species